rnacentral:rRNA from 1 species
GACGAACGCUGGCGGCGUGCUUAACACAUGCAAGUCGAACGGAAAGGUCCUGCUCUUGUUGGGUGCUCGAGAGGCGAACGGGUGAGUAACACGUGAGUAUCCUGCCCUUGACUGUGGGAUAACUUCAGGAAACUGGGGCUAAAACAGGAUAGGAGCUACUGCUGCACGGUGGGGGUUGGAAAGAUUCGGCGGUUGGGGAUGGUAUCGCGGCUUAUGAGCUUGAUGGGGGGGUAGUGGAUUACCAAGGCUUUGACGGGUAGCCCGCCUGAGAGCGUGACCGGCGACAUUGGGCCUAAGAGACGGACCAGAAUCCUACGGUCGGCAGCAGUGGGGAGUAUUACGCAAUGGGCGGACGCCUGAUGCAGCAACGCCGCGUGCGGGAUGACCGCCUUCGGGUUAUAAACAGCUUUCGCCGGUGACGUAGCGUUAGUGACGGUAAUGAGUAAGGAAGCACCGGCUAACUACGUG